AUAGCGUAUAUUAAAGUUGUUGCAGUUAAAAAGCUCGUAGUUGAACUUCGAACGUGGCUGGGCGGUCCGCCUCACGGUGUGUACUGUCUGGCUGUGUUCUCUUUCUUGGUGAGCCGGCAUGCCCUUAAUUGGGUGUGUUGGGGAACCAGGACGUUUACCUUGAGAAAAUUAGAGUGUUCAAAGCAGGCCUACGCCCGGAUACAUUAGCAUGGCAUAAUAAAAUAGGACGUGUGGUUCUAUUUUGUUGGUUUCUAGGACCAUCGUAAUGAUUAAUAGGGAUAGUCGGGGGCAUCAGUAUUCAAUCGUCAGAGGUGAAAUUCUUGGAUCGAUUGAAGACUAACUACUG
rnacentral:rRNA from 1 species